GUUAUCAAUAGAGAGUGAUACAUUAUACAGUGACACAUAAAAGUGCGUCAUUUUGUAACGACUAAAAUGGAUUUACAAGGGCAUUUUGAACGUCCAGAAAUUAUCAACAACCCUAUAUACCAACUUUUAUUAAAUUCAGCUGAUGGCAAAAGUGUUUUAAAAUAUUAUCGAGAUAAUGGAUGCUGGACUUCUGCCAGCGUCUGUUAGUAAUUUAAUUUAUAUCAAUUGCAUAAAAAAAAUUAAUUUUUAUAGCAAUGUUAUAGAAAUUGGAAACAUUAUUAUGGUACCACAUAAAGAUGCUCCUAUUUUUUACAAAGUAGAUAAUAUUAUAGUUUGUAGCAAUAUUAAAGUAUGUCUUAUUGUUAAAAAAUUAAUAAGUACAUUCCUCUACGAAAAAACUGAAUGUUAUCGAUUGUACAACGAUCAGUAUACGUGGGAUGUACUAAAUUUGGAUGACCUAUUUAGCUUUAAGAUUACGAAUCUUGUAAGAGCAUCUAAUGGUGCGAAAUUUAUUCUCAAAAAUUGGUUUUAAUUUAAAUAAAGAUAUAUUUAAUAAUUCAUAAAA